UAGAUCAGCUGUCACAAAAGUAGGAGUCAAACGCCCGAAGGGCAGCUCCACGGGGACACCUUUCUUCUCAGAUGUCCUUAAAAUGUGACUUCCGGCCCCAUGCUCAUUGCUCCAUGGUCACGCGAGGCUGGCUCAUCUCCUACAUAGCGUUUGUGUUCCAGCCCAAAAGAAAGGAAGAGAAAGAUCAUUGUUUAAAGAAAAAGUAAUAAUGCUGCACAAAAUGCUUGACAACAACAGUAGUACAAAGGCCAAGAGGAAGGAAAUGGGACAGAUGACUAUCAGGUUCUUCUGCUGUACAUGAAG